rnacentral:rRNA from 1 species
CCUACGGGAGGCAGCAGUGAGGAAUAUUGGUCAAUGGACGAUAGUCUGAACCAGCCAAGUAGCGUGAAGGAUGACUGCCCUAUGGGUUGUAAACUUCUUUUAUAAAGGAAUAAAACGCAGCACGUGUACCUUUUUGCAUGUACUUUAUGAAUAAGGAUCGGCUAACUCCGUGCCAGCAGCCGCGGUAAUACGGAGGAUCCGAGCGUUAUCCGGAUUUAUUGGGUUUAAAGGGAGCGUAGAUGGGUUGUUAAGUCAGUUGUGAAAGUUUGCGGCUCAACCGUAAAAUUGCAAUUGAUACUGGCAGCCUUGAGUACAGUUGAGGUAGGCGGAAUUCGUGGUGUAGCGGUGAAAUGCUUAGAUAUCACGAAGAACCCCGAUUGCGAAGGCAGCUUACUAAACUGUGACUGACACUGAUGCUCGAAAGUGUGGGUAUCAAACAGGAUUAGAUACCCCGGUAGUC